rnacentral:lncRNA from 1 species
UGGUGGUUAGCUGAUGAUGAUAUCUUUCUUGCUUCAGGUUCCGUUAUCUCUUAUUCCUAAGCCUGUCUACGAAAAAACAGUCGAUUUCAUCAACGUACUUCCAUUCGAGACUAUACUACCUGGCGUUGUAUUAUGGGCCUCUGAUUUCAUUCUCACUGAAUGGCCUAGAGUUGUUGUCAAAGUUGAACAAGACAAAUCCAAGGUUCCAAUCUUUUGAAUAAUGGUGUGUUUUAACUUUUGUUUUUGACUCUCUGACUGACUCCAACGUUUUUUUUUUCUUUUUUCCGACUUGUAGGUGGCAGCAUUUGUUGUGUUAGCCAUGGUGUUGCGUACUCGACCUGAUGCCUUGACUCUUGUUUUGCCGGAGCUGAGGGAGAGUCCUACCUAUCAAGGCCAGGACAAGCUGCCGGUUAUAAUUUGGAUGAUGGCUCAGGUUAAUUCUGAUAAAAAAAAAAUAUUUUUAUCCAAAUUUGUUGUGUUUUGUUCAAGUUUGUCAAUAUUUUUUAAUUAAAUGGUGACAGGCCUCCCAAGGUGAUUUAUGUGCUGGCUUGUAUUCGUGGGUGCGUAACUUGCUGCCACUANNNNNNNNNNNNNNNNNNNNNNNNNNNNNNNNNNNNNNNNNNNNNNNNNNAAAAAAAAAAAAAAAGGUCCUGACAUAUCUUGCUCUUGCACAGGUUCCAUUAUCUUAUAUUCCUAAAUCCGUCUACGAAACAGCCGCCGAUUGGAUCAACAAACUUCCAUCCGUUUCACACUGGAAGUUCGUAACGUGGGCGCUUGACCGACUUCUCAUUGAUUGGGCAGCACAUGCUAAAGGCGAAGAACAACCUUUUAUCAUAUAUCAGGUCUUUGUUUGUCUUAUAUCUCCUCUUCUUCUAUUUAGUGCCUUACCUUCCCACUAUCUUGGUAGGUGGCGACAUUGGUUGAAUUGGCCAUGGUGUUGCGUGCUAACCCUGAUUCUUUGACUGGUCUUUUGCCGAUGCUGAGGUGGAGACCUAUGUAUCAUGGCGAAGACAAGCUUCCGCUUAUCGUUUGGAUGAUGUCUCAUGCCUUUCAACAAGAUUUACCUGCUGCCUUGUAUUCAUGGGCGGUUAACUUGCUGCCACUAGCCGUCGUUAGUAACAAGUGCUGCUACAGCUCUCAGUCAAUUCAUCUCAUCCUGCAAUUUGUUGAGAUGUGAGUCCCUUUUUUUUUUUUAAGAUUCCCUCCCUCCCUCCUCUGCGCUUGUACGUCUAAAACCUUUGUUGUUUUUUUUUCUUUUAAUCAGGAGGAUUUUGUCCUCGAAUCCAGAGGCUCGGGCUGUACUCCUAAACGAGCCUGUUCGGCAUGGAGAGCGGCUGAUUCCACCUCGUUCGUUUGAGAUCUUGGUGCGCCUUACAUUCCCGCCUAGAGUAGAGGAGGCAACAACAGAGAGGUUUCAGGCAAUUUAUCCCUUGUUGAAGGAAGUUGCCCUUGCACAAGAUACAAGUGCAGACGCACUGAAACAGAUAUUCACUUUUUCUUUGAGAUUAGCUGGGGAAGAAGGUAUUAUCGGCGGCAACAAACAAACGAAACACCACUUGCUUUGCUUCCCCUAUUAAAUUUACCCUUGGCUUUUGUUUACAGGCAAUCCUGCUCUAGCCAGUGAAGCUACAGCAAUCGCCUUCAGUGUUUUGACACAAAACGUUGAUUGCUUUAAGCAAUGGGAUGUUCUCUACAAGGAGCAUCUAGAAGCUAGCGUUGCUCUUCUUAAAAAGCUUGUAGACGAAUGGGAGUAUCAUGCCCCCAAACUAUUAUCAUCAUCACCGACUGAUACUCUCACUGUCGAGCAUGCUAUGAAUAGCUUCAGGAUGAAGGUCUCUUAUUAGACUCUUCUUCUAAGCUAAUAUUUAACUCUUUGACCUCACCCUUGCUAUAUAUUCUGCAGAACGAAAUAGCCAUCACUGAAGGAGUAGCUAAUCUUUCUGUUUACAAAGAAGCUGACAAGUCGUGCAAACUGAUCUCAACGAGACUCACCCCUGGAAGUGGCGGCCGCAACAUAAUGGAUCUGAACAAAUCAAAUCCGGCAAAGAUCGAUCCCUCAGACCUUAAGGUAAGUGAACUCGAGAUCUGAUUUUUUGUAUUUGCAAGUUGUAGAAUUGUCUUCCGAUCAAAAUCUUAUUGCUAUUAGUUAUCUUCAAACUUUGUGAUCAAAGCCCCUGUCGUUAACUUUUGUACAAUGGGAAAACUAAGAGAUGUUCAAUUUUUAUCCUAACCAGCUUGUGGAAGACAAAUCAAACGCUGAGGAAAUUGAAAAGGCGAUAUUGUCUUUGUCCGAAGCUGCCAAAAAGAUGGACCCCUCACCUCUUGCGGCUUACCUCGACCAAGUAUUGGUAAGUGAAAUUCGCGUUUUGUCUAAAUUCAGAAACCGAAUUUUAAUCCUGGUUUGUUGAUAGGACGAUGAUUGGUAUAUACCGGCGAAGCAGAUGUUGAAAUUAAUCCAUUACUAUGGGAUUCAACUUUCCCAAGUAUCCUUUCAAUGGGUCAAGAUGUUCCAGGACUAUCCUUUAUCCAAGCUCAUUCAUGUGAGAGCUUCUAUUUAUUACGUCCUUUUUUGUAAAUCUAAAAGUCAUUCUUUGGUGGUUAGCUGAUGAUGAUAUCUUUCUUGCUUCAGGUUCCGUUAUCUCUUAUUCCUAAGCCUGUCUACGAAAAAACAGUCGAUUUCAUCAACGUACUUCCAUUCGAGACUAUACUACCUGGCGUUGUAUUAUGGGCCUCUGAUUUCAUUCUCACUGAAUGGCCUAGAGUUGUUGUCAAAGUUGAACAAGACAAAUCCAAG